rnacentral:rRNA from 1 species
UACGGGGGGGGCAAGCGUUGUUCGGAAUUACUGGGCGUAAAGGGCUCGUAGGCGGCCAACUAAGUCGGACGUGAAAUCCCCAGGCUCAACCUGGGAACUGCGUCCGAUACUGGAUGGCUUGAAUUCGGGAGAGGGAUGCAGAAUUCCAGGUGUAGCGGUGAAAUGCGUAGAUAUCUGGAGGAAUACCGGUGGCGAAGGCGGCAUCCUGGACCGACAUUGACGCUGAUGAGCGAAAGCUAGGGGAGCAAACGGG